UGGGGAAUAUUGGACAAUGGGCGAAAGCCUGAUCCAGCCAUGCCGCGUGAGUGAUGAAGGCCCUAGGGUUGUAAAGCUCUUUUGUGCGGGAAGAUAAUGACGGUACCGCAAGAAUAAGCCCCGGCUAACUUCGUGCCAGCAGCCGCGGUAAUACGAAGGGGGCUAGCGUUGCUCGGAAUCACUGGGCGUAAAGGGUGCGUAGGCGGGUUUCUAAGUCAGAGGUGAAAGCCUGGAGCUCAACUCCAGAACUGCCUUUGAUACUGGAAGUCUUGAGUUCGGGAGAGGUGAGUGGAACUUCGAGUGUAGAGGUGAAAUUCGUAGAUAUUCGCAAGAACACCAGUGGCGAAGGCGGCUCACUGGCCCGAUACUGACGCUGAGGCACGAAAGCGUGGGGAGCAAACA
rnacentral:rRNA from 1 species